rnacentral:rRNA from 1 species
AUUGAACGCUGGCGGCAUGCCUAACACAUGCAAGUCGAACGGGGCAGCAAUGCCUAGUGGCGGACGGGUGAGGAAUACGUAGGAAUCUGCCCUUAAGUGGGGGAUAACCAGGGGAAACCCUGACUAAUACCGCAUGAUCUCUUCGGAGCAAAGAGGGGGACCGCAAGGCCUCUCGCUUCUGGAUGAGCCUACGUCUGAUUAGCUAGUUGGUAGGGUAAAGGCCUACCAAGGCGACGAUCAGUAACUGGUCUGUGAGGAUGAUCAGUCACACCGGAACUGAGACACGGGCCGGACUCCUACGGGAGGCAGCAGUGGGGAAUAUUGGACAAUGGGCGCAAGCCUGAUCCAGCAAUGCCGCGUGUGUGAAGAAGGCCUUCGGGUUGUAAAGCACUUUAGCCUGGAAAGAAAAAACUUUGGUUAACACCCAAAGUCUUGACGGUACCAGGAGAAUAAGCACCGGCUAACUCUGUGCCAGCAGCCGCAGUAAAAC